rnacentral:rRNA from 1 species
AGAGUUUGAUCCUGGCUCAGGACGAACGCUGGCGGCGCGCCUAACACAUGCAAGUCGAACGGGACUAUACUGGAAGAAGUUUUCGGAUGGAUUUCGGUAUAGUUUAGUGGCGGACGGGUGAGUAACACGUGAGCAACCUGCCUUCGAGAGGGGAAUAACGGCUGGAAACGGUCGCUAAUACCGCAUAACAUACCGGGAGGACAUCCUGCUGGUAUCAAAGAUUUUAUCGCUCGAAGAUGGGCUCGCGUCCGAUUAGGUAGUUGGUGAGGUAACGGCUCACCAAGCCGACGAUCGGUAGCCGGACUGAGAGGUUGAACGGCCACAUUGGGACUGAGACACGGCCCAGACUCCUACGGGAGGCAGCAGUGGGGGAUAUUGCGCAAUGGGGGAAACCCUGAUGCAGCGACGCCGCGUGUGGGAAGACGGUCCUCUGGAUUGUAAACCACUGUCCCCAGGGACGAAGAUGACGGUACCUGGGGAGGAAGCUCCGGCUAACUACGUGCCAGCAGCCGCGGUAAUACGUAGGGAGCGAGCGUUGUCCGGAAUUACUGGGUGUAAAGGGAGCGUAGGCGGGGAUGCAAGUUGGGUGUCAAAACUACCGGCUCAACUGGUAGUCGCACUCAAAACUGCAACUCUUGAGUGAAGUAGAGGCAGGCGGAAUUCCUAGUGUAGCGGUGAAAUGCGUAGAUAUUAGGAGGAACACCAGUGGCGAAGGCGGCCUGCUGGGCUUUUACUGACGCUGAGGCUCGAAAGUGUGGGGAGCAAACAGGAUUAGAUACCCUGGUAGUCCGCACCGUAAACGAUGAUUACUAGGUGUGGGGGGUCUGACCCCUUCCGUGCCGGAGUUAACACAAUAAGUAAUCCACCUGGGGAGUACGGCCGCAAGGUUGAAACUCAAAGGAAUUGACGGGGGCCCGCACAAGCAGUGGAGUAUGUGGUUUAAUUCGAAGCAACGCGAAGAACCUUACCAGGUCUUGACAUCGUGCGCAUAGCUCAGAGAUGAGUGAAGCCCUUCGGGGCGCAUAGACAGGUGGUGCAUGGUUGUCGUCAGCUCGUGUCGUGAGAUGUUGGGUUAAGUCCCGCAACGAGCGCAACCCU